GGAAUAUUGGACAAUGGGCGCAAGCCUGAUCCAGCAAUACCGCGUGUGUGAAGAAGGCCUUCGGGUUGUAAAGCACUUUCAGUAGGGAGGAAACACUCAAGGGUAAUAUCCUUGAGGACUGACGUUACCUACAGAAGAAGCACCGGCUAACUCCGUGCCAGCAGCCGCGGUAAUACGGAGGGUGCAAGCGUUAAUCGGAAUUACUGGGCGUAAAGCGCACGUAGGUGGAUUGUUAAGUCGGUUGUGAAAGCCCCGGGCUCAACCUGGGAAUUGCAUUCGAUACUGGCAAUCUAGAGUAUGGUAGAGGGAAGUGGAAUUUCCGGUGUAGCGGUGAAAUGCGUAGAUAUCGGAAGGAACACCAGUGGCGAAGGCGGCUUCCUGGACCAAUACUGACACUGAGGUGCGAAAGCGUGGGGAGCAAAC
rnacentral:rRNA from 1 species